AAAUCUCAUAUAGAAGCAAAACUCAAAUGGCUUUGUUGAAGCAAAAAUGGAUAUUCAUCAUUUGCAUCACAAGUCACUCAAACUCUACAUAUGAGUCGGUUGAAUUUCUACUAUAUGAGUCACUUAACAUCCAUUUUGUAGUUCACUCAACAUCGAUAUAAGAGCAGGUUGAACUCCCAUUCCAUAGAUCUUUUGAUUUCCAUUUAAAAGGACUCAUAAUCAAUGAGUAAAACCUGAGCCACAUCCAUUAAUAAUCCUU
rnacentral:lncRNA from 1 species